rnacentral:lncRNA from 1 species
CUCAAAUCACAGCCAAUCUACUUCCUGUAAAUUCCUGUAUAUCUCUGCACAUGGGCUGAUGAAGAAGAAAAGCUCAAAGAAGAAGCAUACAGCUGGCUCACUUCAUGGACGUCCUGAGCUCCACCUAAUGUUUGGCUGCGGGGCUUAGUAUCUGCUCCCAUCAGUUGCUAGAUGAAUUCCCUCUGGUUGUCUUGAUAAUGAUUCUGCUGGACCAUGGUUCCAGAACACUCUGAAGAUUGGAAAAACUAUAGAUCAAAGAACAUGUCCUCACCCAACCUGCAACAUGGGUUCGAAGUCUUAUGAUUUUUCAAACAUCUGAAAUGACAAGACCACAGUCAGAAGUAUAAUACCUAACAUCCUAAGGACUAGAGAGAACCAAGAGAGAUGGAACUGGGAUCAGUUAAAGUGCUUCCCUGAUGGAUAACUGUCCACUGUUCUUCUAAGAAGCUGAUGCAACUGACAUCAUUUAGAAAAUGAUUUUAUUUCAACAGUAAACUGAGUUGAAAAUGGCAUCGACCAUGUCACAUCUUCUUCUA